rnacentral:misc_RNA from 1 species
AAAUUAGAAUUUUUAAAUCAGUGGGGCUGUAUAUGAAUGGACUAGAACUCUGACAGUACAAUCCCUCAGGCUUGCCGAAUUCUUCACAAUGUAGGACAAUUCAUUGCUUAGUUUUUGGAUCUGAUGAUUAAGGGACAGUGCAUUGCAUCAUAAGGUGUUGUGUUUUGUGUCAUUCUUUGUGGAAUGAACACAAAAUCUGUGGCUUGCAAUGAUAAGAACAAUUUAGAUCAAUACAAGAUAUUUACUUAUUACUAAGUUAUUGUUAUGAUCUCUGAGGAGACAUGUAUUACUGUAAUUUGUUAUAAUAGUUAUGUUUAAACUCCAACUUAUUUGUAUUUCUUUUGUACAGAGUCUUGCCCUUAUAUCUGUAUCAAUGUUGAGUUAAUAAAGAUUUGAUAUGGU